CCUACGGGGAGCUGCAGUGGGGAAUAUUGGACAAUGGGCGAAAGCCUGAUCCAGCCAUGCCGCGUGUGUGAAGAAGGCCUUCGGGUUGUAAAGCACUUUCAGUGGGGAAGAAAGCCUUGGGGCUAAUACCCUCGAGGAAGGACAUCACCCACAGAAGAAGCACCGGCUAACUCCGUGCCAGCAGCCGCGGUAAUACGGAGGGUGCGAGCGUUAAUCGGAAUUACUGGGCGUAAAGCGCGCGUAGGCGGUCUGAUAAGCCGGUUGUGAAAGCCCCGGGCUCAACCUGGGAACGGCAUCCGGAACUGUCAGGCUAGAGUGCAUGAGAGGAAGGUAGAAUUCCCGGUGUAGCGGUGAAAUGCGUAGAGAUCGGGAGGAAUACCAGUGGCGAAGGCGGCCUUCUGGACUGACACUGACGCUGAGGUGCGAAAGCGUGGGUAGCAAACAGGAUUAGAUACCCUGGUAGUC
rnacentral:rRNA from 1 species